rnacentral:misc_RNA from 1 species
UUUCCGUAGGUGAACCUGCGGAAGGAUCAUUACCGAGUUUUAUUGGAUCUUCGGAUCCUGACUCUCACACCAAUGAGGAUGAACCCUUUGUUGCUUCGGCAAGUCGAUUUGUUUUUUUUGGUUGUAAGAGACCUUAAAACGAACCACUGGUGAUUGACGAUGUUUUUUUUUGGUGUAAAACCAAAAGAAACUCUCGUCAAGAGCGGGUGUGUUGCUUGCCGAAGAUUUUUACACUUUGUUUUCAGUCAGUCUUUUAUUGAAACUAAAAAAUCAAUUAAAACUUUCAACAACGGAUCUCUUGGUUCUGGCAUCGAUGAAGAACGCAGC